CCUGUACUCUCUAGACCGCUCACCCGCCUGAUCUCUAUGGUCUCCGUCUGCGCAUGUGCGGCGUAGGCCCCACCUCUUCUUUUCCUCCCGCGCGGGCCACGUGAGGAGAUUCUGGAGCCUUCAAGUUGUCCCCCGUGCGCAAGCAGCAGGACGAGGCCCAGGACUUUUCGGGCCUGCACGUUUGCUGAGAGUGGUGUUCUUGUGGCGGGGGCGGAAGGUGGACGUCUUAGGAAGCCUUGCGACCCAGUCGGGACCCCCACAGGGACUCCGCAGUGCCUGGGGAUGGCCUGGACCUCGCCCGGGAAAGCUGACACUUCACAGGCCUCUCUAAUGUCUGAAGUGCUCCAGAAAAUGAAUCUAUUUGAGGUGAGCUCUUUCUCCUCCUCUUUGUGCUGUGAUGGAUUUCACCUUUUUUUUUUUUUUUUGUAUUUUGUCUUUUCAGGGCUGUACCUGUGGAUUGUGGAGGUUUCCAGGCUAGGGGUCUAGUCAGAGCUACAGAUGCUAGUCUACACCACAGCCCCAGCAAUGCCAGAUCCAAGCCGAAUCUGUGACCUAUACCACAGCUCAUGACAACUCCAGGUUCUUUAACUCACUGAGCGAGGCCAGGGAUUGAACCCGCAACCUCAUGGAUCCUAGUCGGAUUCGCUUGCGCUGCGCCACGAUGGGGACUCUGGAUUUCACUUUUGAUUUCCGAUUGUUCUCAUCCUUUAUGAAUGAAAAUUAUUUACAAUUUAUAAUCAGUUUGCUGAGAUUUUAUUUGAGACAUGGAGGUACUCGGAAAUAAUUAUAUUGAAUUCUUUUUUGCAUUUGUUGGAGUAAAGGUGUAUAGCAGCUUACUUUUGUUUUAACGUUGUAACUGCCAUCUUUUUGUGAAUAUAUUUUAAUUUUUCUUCAAAUUGUAUUGACCAAGUCGGUUUGCCUAUAAUUGUGUUUUCUUGUGUCCCUGCCCAACUGUGAUAUGUUGAUUAUACUAGCUUUAUUGGGGCACUUUCCUGCUCUUUUUUCUUCUCCUCUCCCCCUCCUCCCUUCCUCUUGCUUUUUCCUACCCUGCCUUCUCUCAUUCAUAUAAGAAAAUAACCUAUUACAAAUUUCAUGAAACUCAGCCCUAACAUUGGACUUUGUGAGUACAUCUGCUUUUUAUGUGUAAAUACAGAUUAUUGAGUCACUUUAUUUAAGCAAUCCUGGGUGUAGUCUUGUAUUUUAAUUAUUUUUUUUAUUCAUCUUUGGAUGUUUAGGGCCACACCCACAGCAUAUGGAUGUUCUCAGGCUAGGGAUCAAAUCACGGUUGUAGCUGCCAGCCUACUCCACUGCGACAGCAAUGCCAGAUUUGUAACCCAUGGAGCAGGGGCAGGGAUUGAACCUGCAUCUUCAUGGAUGCUAGUUGGAUUUGUUGUCACUGAGCCAUGAUGGGAAGUCCUCUAUUUUUUAUUAUUACCACAUUUUCAGAGAAAAUUGUACACUCUUAUCUGCUAGGAAAUGUAUUUUC
rnacentral:lncRNA from 1 species